rnacentral:tRNA from 2 species
GCGGAAGUGGUGGAAUCGGUAGACACGCAGGAUUUAGGUUCCUGUGCCCCCGGGCGUGUGGGUUCAAGUCCCAUCUUCCGCACCG